GGAAGUAAAAGUGUAACAAGGUCUCCGUAGGUGAACCUGCGGAGGGAUCAUCACAGAGUUCAUGCCCUACCGGGUAGAUCUCCCACCCUAUGUUAUUAUUACUUUGUUGCUUUGGCGGGCCGUUAGGCUCCGGCCCGACUACCGGCCCCGGCUGGUAAGCGCCCGCCAGAGGACCCAAAACCCUGAAUAUUAGUGUCGUCUGAGUACUAUAUAAUAGUUAAAACUUUCAACAACGGAUCUCUUGGUUCUG
rnacentral:misc_RNA from 1 species